CCUACGGGAGGCAGCAGUGGGGAAUAUUGGACAAUGGGCGAAAGCCUGAUCCAGCAAUGCCGCGUGAGUGAUGAAGGCCUUAGGGUUGUAAAGCUCUUUUACCAGGGAUGAUAAUGACAGUACCUGGAGAAUAAGCUCCGACUAACUCCGUGCCAGCAGCCGCGGUAAUACGGAGGGAGCUAGCGUUGUUCGGAAUUACUGGGCGUAAAGCGUACGUAGGCGGUUAUUCAAGUCAGAGGUGAAAGCCUGGAGCUCAACUCCAGAACUGCCUUUGAAACUAGAUAGCUAGAAUCUUGGAGAGGUGAGUGGAAUUCCGAGUGUAGAGGUGAAAUUCGUAGAUAUUCGGAAGAACACCAGUGGCGAAGGCGACUC
rnacentral:rRNA from 1 species